CACACACACAAAUCAAUUAAUUUUUUAAAAAGGACAUUUACUAGAAUAAAACAUGGUAAUCCCUGGGUGAUGGGAUUAUGACUAGUUUUCAAUUUCUUUUGCUUGUUUGUAUUUUCACCUUUUUCUACACUGAGCAUAUAUUAUUUCUGUUUUCAAAGAACUUUCCAGGAAGAAAAACUUUUUAAUAUUAUGACCUGUCCAUUUUCCUUUUUUACUGAAAGCUUUUCAGGAAUCACAAAGACUAUUUUUAACUCAGUGACAACCAAACUCAAAGAUGUACAGAGGCAAUUAAGAGCACUGCUUCCACCUGAUGCUGUGUUAGUGGGACACUCGCUAGACUUGGAUCUCAGAGCAUUGAAAGAAAGAUAUACAGCGUCCAAACAGGCUUGGGCAUGAUACCACAGAAGAUGCUAGAACGGCCCUUGAAUUGGCUCAGUAUUUCCUUAAGAAUGGCCCAGAGAAGGUUAGUAUCUUUGACCAGUGUGUUUGCCUUUAAUGUUACAGAACCAUAGCCAGGCAUGGUUGCACACACCUGUAAUCCCAGCACUUCUGGAAGGUUGAGGUGGAAGGAUUGCCAGGAGCUCAAGGCUAGCCUGGCCUACAUAGUGAGUUCAAGGCCAGCUUGAAUUAUGGAAUGAGACCCUGUCUCAAAAAAAACAAAACAACAACAACAACAAAAAAACAGGAUCAAACAAUCACAUAUCAUCAUCUUCUGUCAUUACCUUUCUUUACAAUAAUGAGAAUGUGAUGAAGCCAAGUUUGCAUUUGGAAUUAAGACCCAUAUAACUUGCCUAAUAUAGUGAGUAGUCUCCGAAGUUGGGCUUAAAUAUUUUUAAAUGUAGACUCUUAAAUUUAGCUGUAUCAUCUAGGAAAUUUCUUUGUAAAACUGAGAUUCCACCUCACCCCACAAAGAAUGGCUGCUAU
rnacentral:lncRNA from 1 species